rnacentral:rRNA from 1 species
GGACUACCGGGGUAUCUAAUCCGUUUUGCUCCCCACGCUUUCAUGCCUCAAUGUCAGAAACUGAAUAGUCAACUGCCUUCGCCUAUUUUGGUGUUCCUCUGUAUAUCUAUGCAUUUCACCGCUCCACACAGAAUUCCGUCAACCUCUCCAGCACUCGAUUAUUACAGUAUUAGCAGCUGCUAGAAGUUGAGCUUCUAUUUUUUACUACUAACUUAUAAUAACAUCUACGCAUCCUUUACGCCCAAUAAAUCCGGAUAACGUUCGUCACCUAUGUAUUACCGCGGCUGCUGGCAC